AAUCACUUAAUUUCCAUUUGUUUCAGUUUAUUUUUAUUUAUCUUUUUUAUUAAAAAAUUUUAAACCCUUAGAAUCAGUAUUUCCAAGGCAGAAGAGCAGUAAGGUUAAGUGGCUUGCCCAGGAUCACACAGCUAGGAAUCUUAGAAUCUUCCAUUUUAGAAUCAGUGCUUCCAAGGCAGAAGAGUAGUAAGGGCUAGGCAAUGGAGGUUAAGUGACUUGCACAGGGUCACACAGUCAGGAAGUAGCUGAGGUCAGAUUUGAACCUAGGACCUCCAAUCUCUAGGCCUAUCUAUCCACGGCCUCUUUGUUUCAGUUACCUCAGCUGUAAAAUGGGUUAAAUAACAGAACUUUCUUCUCUCCUCAGAAUUGUUGCAAACAUCAAACAAAACAUAACUAAAUAACUAUUUCUUUCUUAUCUCCUUUAUUCUCAUUCACAUUACUAGUCACUGAGUAAGAGGCUACUGUAAUAUUAAUGGGAGUAAAGUCAUGCUUUCCUCCUUCUUCCCUCCUCCUCCAUCCCCCUUUCUUCUUAGCUUAAUGAAGCCAAAAGGAUCUUGUUUCUUUUAGUCAGCCAUGUAGGUGAAGAGGAAAGCAGCCAGGCCACGAGAAAACUGGGCUUCUCAGAGCAUUCAGGAGCUGACAGAAAUGAAGAACUACGUUGUUCUUUUGCUCUGACCUUGGCUUUUCAGCCCCCUGUCCAUCUAGACCAGAGACCCCAGGGCUGCUUCGUCAGAGGCGGCCAUACGCAGCUCUCCUCCUUGACAGAGGCCAUCUGCCCAAUGAUUGUGUUAAGAAGGGACAGCGUCUGCCAAGUCAGAGAACUCCUAGGACCUUGAAUCCUCUUGAAGUUCACAAGAUCAUCAUCAGAUCUGGUCAUUUCCACCAGGGGAUACUUGUUUAUCAGAUAAAAAAAUGCAAAAGCAACCAGGAUCUUCACUUGCCCCAGUCUUCUCUCUUCCCCACCUAGUUGAGAACAUGCUUUACAUGGAGAACAGUAGCAAGAUUGCUACAAUAAAUAUGUGUGUAGCAAAUGACUAUCUUUCUCC
rnacentral:lncRNA from 1 species